GUGCAUGGUGUCGUCAGCUCGUGUCGUGAGAUGUUGGGUUAAGUCCCGCAACGAGCGCAACCCCUAACAUUAGUUACCAGCGAGUGAAGUCGGGGACUCUAAUGUGACUGCCGUUGACAAAACAGAGGAAGGUGGGGAUGACGUCAAAUCAUCAUGC
rnacentral:ncRNA from 1 species